rnacentral:rRNA from 1 species
AACGAACGCUGGCGGCAGGCUUAACACAUGCAAGUCGAGCGCCCCGCAAGGGGAGCGGCAGACGGGUGAGUAACGCGUGGGAAUCUACCCAUCUCUACGGAAUAACGCAUGGAAACGUGUGCUAAUACCGUAUACGUCCUUCGGGAGAAAGAUUUAUCGGAGAUGGAUGAGCCCGCGUUGGAUUAGCUAGUUGGUGGGGUAAAGGCCUACCAAGGCGACGAUCCAUAGCUGGUCUGAGAGGAUGAUCAGCCACACUGGGACUGAGACACGGCCCAGACUCCUACGGGAGGCAGCAGUGGGGAAUAUUGGACAAUGGGCGCAAGCCUGAUCCAGCCAUGCCGCGUGAGUGAUGAAGGCACUAGGGUUGUAAAGCUCUUUCACCGGUGAAGAUAAUGACGGUAACCGGAGAAGAAGCCCCGGCUAACUUCGUGCCAGCAGCCGCCGUAA